rnacentral:rRNA from 1 species
AUUGAACGCUGGCGGCAUGCUUUACACAUGCAAGUCGAACGGCAGCGCGGGCUUCGGCCUGGCGGCGAGUGGCGAACGGGUGAGUAAUACAUCGGAACGUGCCCAGUAGUGGGGGAUAGCUCGGCGAAAGCCGGAUUAAUACCGCAUACGACCUGAGGGUGAAAGCGGGGGAUCUUCGGACCUCGCGCUAUUGGAGCGGCCGAUGGCAGAUUAGCUAGUUGGUGGGGUAAAGGCCUACCAAGGCGACGAUCUGUAGCUGGUCUGAGAGGACGACCAGCCACACUGGGACUGGGACACGGCCCAGACUCCUACGGGAGGCAGCAGUGGGGAAUUUUGGACAAUGGGCGAAAGCCUGAUCCAGCAAUGCCGCGGGUGUGAUGAAGGCCUUCGGGUUGUAAAGCACUUUUGGCGGGAACGAAAAGGACUGUGCCAAUACCACGGUUCGAUGACGGUACCCGCAGAAUAAGCACCGGCUAACUACGUG